rnacentral:lncRNA from 1 species
GGUGGGCUGGCCGGAAGUAGGGGGAUGCAGGGGUGGCUGCUGAUUCUUCUUCCUCUCUUGUUUCUUCUUUUCUUUUCUUUUUUUUUUUUUGAAAGAGAUGAGGCAGCAAGGAGGUCGAGCGGUGGUCAAAGGUCACUGGCCAGGGAGAAGCAGCGACGGUGGUCGAGCGGCCGAGGAAACAGCGGCAACGGUGAAGAAAGAGUUGCCUUGUAGUGGUGGUGGGGAAGAAGGGUAGCAAAGCUGUGGCGGG